UUUCUUCUCACGUUUCCUCUCCCAUUUACUCAGCCCUAUACAACAGUCAUGGAGUUUACACCAAUAUACUGAGCUAGGUGUCUUGAGAAGCACAAGUGUACGGAGGUGGAGACCACAGACCGAGGAUGAAGCUUCCUCUCUCUCAGAGAUAACCUGUCUUCAUCUUUUCCUUACUUCCUCAGCAAUGCAUUGUGCACAUAGGAAGCUCAUAGUCCUGUUGGCAGCAUGGAGGACAGCUGCUGGCAAACAAAGUAAGCUUCCUGCUUCUGUCUUCCUGGGACAGGCAGAGGCUUGGGGAAAGAAGGGAAGCCUGGAAAUUUUCCUUCUGUGGCAUGGUAGAUGCAAGGGACUAAGACUCGGUCUGGUUUCAUUGCACCUCAAAGUGCUCUCAAUAGAGUGGAGCAUUAUCUGGUGGGGGCUUUACAACAGGUGGCCCGGGCAUGUUUCCCAGUUUUAGGUUCAUUUGUAUCUCCUGGCCGGGAACUCCCUGAGGAGAGAUUCUCACUGGUGAAGGAAACAGAGAAGGAAGGUAGCCAACUUAGUACUUUCCCUAAGCAGAACUGGGUAGAGAAAAGUGAAUUCCAUCUGACUCCCUGGGUUCUUGCCCCGCUCUCAGCCAUAGUCUAGACACACAGUUGUGCAUGUGACUUCUUCGUGCCUCGAUGUCGUCUCCUCUAAUGUUGGUUCCACACAACUCUCUGCCUACUUCACUGGGAUGGAAUGAGAUAGGGUCUUGCUCUGUAGCCUAGGCUAGCUUAGAACUCACCAUGUAGACCAGGCUGAUCUCAAAGUCAAAGCAAUUCUCCUGCUUCCUCCUCUCAAGUACUGUACAUGUGAAGUACUGUACAUAGUAAUAGAUGUGAAACAGGUUGUAAACAUCAAAGACUACAUCCAAAACAAUAAUGCUUUGUACUUAUUUCUCUUAAGAUGGUCUAACGCUAGAUUACUCUUGAUUUAACAGGUAGUUCUGUGGGUACCAGAGUGUGAUCUUUUGGGAGGAAGAGGGCAACUUUUAUUGGUAUCUACAUCACCAGCAUUUAGAACAGCGCCUGAUAAAGGUUUCUUUAAACACCCCCAGACAAUGAUUACUGAACGAUUAGAUGGAAGAAAUGUGAAAAAAAGAAGCCUUCCAAAGAGGAGCGUGCACAUACUGUCGUUUUCGGGGACACUCACACGUGCUUUGGUGCACGGUCACUGGCUUCCAUCAUCUCUACGCCAUGGUGAGGCAGAACACAGCGCUGGAAUGAACACAGUGGAGCAAAGCUCCCUAUGUCAUGGAAGACAGGAAACAGAAAGAGGGGACUAGGGACAAGAUAAGCUCUUCCUGGGAAAGUGCCCUCUGACCCAGUUUGUCCAUCCGAGUGUCCCACCACCUCCUGGUAAUUCCAUCUAAGUAUGAACCCAUCAAGAGUCUUCACGAUCUGAUACCUUCCAAAAGCCCCACUCCUGAACAUGGCUACCCUGAGGACCAAGCCUUUAUCCUAAGCACAAAACAUCUGGGGAAAACUUCAGAUCUAAAGCACAGAGUCAAGACAGAGGACACUGAAGCCCUAAGAACACUCACUCUGGGGGCCAAAUCUGCAGAAUGGACUUGAACAACUUCAGAGUGCUGGGUGACAUGCUCGCAAAGGUCGAAGCCUGCCCCCGUUUCAGAAGUGGAGGCUUUUCGCAAGGGGCCUUCUGAUGAGGAGGCUGCUUCUCUGGUGGUUAAAGGUGGUGGCCAGAGGCAUCAUGAAAGGAAAGGAGAAAGACGUAGGGUGAUGGAGGCUGGUGGACGGUCUGCAUGAAGAAGGAACCCUGAAGCAUGGAAGAGGCCGGGAGCAGAUAGGAAGGUGCAGUGUCGUUGGAGGUCACAGGAGGUCAGACAGAGUCCAAAAGAUAAGGCAGAAAGGAGGAAACUUAUUUCCUGACAGCUUAGAGAUAGCUGUAAGGAGUAGGAAAUCCUGUCCACCUCCCCUUUCUGCUGGGAAAAGAGGAGGCAUGGGAGGGAGAGGUCUGGACCAGACCAUUGAGAAAGACUGUGAAUGGUGCAUCUCUUGUGAAUGCUUUUCCCCAUUUCUUAAAAUGUUAUUUAGUUUUCAAAAAGGUCAUAUAUUUGGUGAUUUAAAUAUCAAAAGUAUUAAAGAAUGAUAGAUUCAUAGGAUUCCCUCAC